rnacentral:piRNA from 1 species
CUCAGGUGAAGGAACUUAGCAUGGUAAC